rnacentral:tRNA from 1 species
GGAGAGGUACCGAAGCGGUCAUAACGGCGCAGACUCGAAAUCUGUUGGGGGCAAUAGCCCCACGUGGGUUCGAAUCCCACCCUCUCCGCCA